UCGAGAAUUUUUCACAAUGGGCGCAAGCCUGAUGGAGCGACGCCGCGUGGGGGAUGAAUGGCUUCGGCCCGUAAACCCCUGUCAUUUGCGAACAAGUUGGUUCACUUAAUACCUGAACCAUUGAUAGUAGCGAAAGAGGAAGGGACGGCUAACUCUGUGCCAGCAGCCGCGGUAAUACAGAGGUCCCAAGCGUUGUUCGGAUUCACUGGGCGUAAAGGGUGCGUAGGUGGUGAGGUAAGUCGGAUGUGAAAUCUCCGAGCUCAACUCGGAAAUGGCAUUGGAAACUACCUUGCUCGAGGGUUGGAGGGGGGACUGGAAUGCUUGGUGUAGCAGUGAAAUGCGUAGAUAUCAAGCGGAACACCAGUGGCGAAGGCGAGUCCCUGGACAACUCCUGACACUGAGGCACGAAAGCUAGGGGAGCAAAC
rnacentral:rRNA from 1 species